rnacentral:rRNA from 1 species
UUGCGGUUAAGCUAAUAAGAGCACACGGAGGAUGCCUAGGCGCCAGGAGCCGACGAAGGACGUGGCGAACAACGAAACUGCCUCGGGGAGCUGUAAGCAAGCUUUGAUCCGGGGGUGUCCGAAUGGGGAAACCCAGCUGUGGUAAUUCGCAGUUACUCGUAUCUGAAUACAUAGGAUACGCAGAGGCAGACCAGGGGAACUGAAACAUCUAAGUACCCUGAGGAAGAGAAAACAAUAGUGAUUCCGUCAGUAGCGGCGAGCGAACGCGGAACAGCCUAAACCAGGGGGCUUGCCUCCUGGGGUUGUGGGACGUCUCACAUGGAGUUACAAAGGAAUAUGGUAGGCGAAGAGGUCUGGAAAGGCCCGCGAUAGAGGUAAAAGCCCUGUAGCCUAAACUGUGUUCUCUCCGAGACGGAUCCCGAGUAGUGCGGGGCACGUGAAACCCCGUAUGAAUCCGGCAGGACCAUCUGUCAAGGCUAAAUACUACCUGGCGACCGAUAGUGAAACAGUACCGUGAGGGAAAGGUGAAAAGCACCCCGGAAGGGGAGUGAAAUAGAACCUGAAACCGUGUGCUUACAAAAAGUCAGAGCCCGAUCUAUGGGUGAUGGCGUGCCUUUUGUAGAAUGAACCGGCGAGUUACGUUUAACAUGCAAGGUUAAGGUGAGAAGCCGGAGCCGCAGCGAAAGCGAGUCUGAAUAGGGCGAUUUAGUAUGUGGACGUAGACCCGAAACCGUGUGAUCUACCCCUGUCCAGGGUGAAGGUGCGGUAACACGCACUGGAGGCCCGAACCCACGUACGUUGAAAAGUGCGGGGAUGAGGUGGGGGUAGCGGAGAAAUUCCAAUCGAACUCGGAGAUAGCUGGUUCUCCCCGAAAUAGCUUUAGGGCUAGCCUCGGUGAAUGGAGUGAUGGAGGUAGAGCACUGAUUGGGUGCGGGGCCCGCAAGGGUUACCAAGCUCAGUCAAACUCCGAAUGCCAUUACCUUCUUGCCGGGAGUCAGACAGUGAGUGCUAAGAUCCAUUGUCAAAAGGGAAACAGCCCAGACCAUCAGCUAAGGUCCCCAAGUGUGUGUUAAGUGGGAAAGGAUGUGGAGUUGCACAGACAACCAGGAUGUUGGCUUAGAAGCAGCCACCAUUUAAAGAGUGCGUAAUAGCUCACUGGUCGAGUGACUCUGCGCCGAAAAUGUAACGGGGCUAAACACACCACCGAAGCUAUGGCUAGAUGCUUUGCAUCUGGGGUAGGGGAGCGUUGUAUGUGGGUUGAAGGUGUACCGUAAGGAGCGCUGGACAGCAUACAAGUGAGAAUGCCGGUAUGAGUAACGAAAAGAUCAGUGAGAAUCUGAUCCGCCGAAAGCCCAAGGUUUCCUGAGGAAGGCUCGUCCGCUCAGGGUAAGUCGGGACCUAAGGCGAGGCCGAUAGGCGUAGUCGAAGGACAACAGUUUGAAAUUACUGUACCACCGUAAUCCGCUAUGAGCGAUGGGGUGACGCAGGAGGGUAGUGACGCGGACUGAUGGAUGUCCGUCUAAGCAGUGAGGCUGGUGUGUAGGCAAAUCCGCACACUGUUAAGGCCAGGCUGUGAUGGGGAGCGAAAAUUAUAGUAGCGAAGGUCAUGAUCUCACACUGCCAAGAAAAGCCUCUAGCCAGGAGAAGGUGCCCGUACCGCAAACCGACACAGGUAGGCGAGAAGAGAAUUCUAAGGCGCGCGGAAGAACUCUCGUUAAGGAACUCGGCAAAAUGACCCCGUAACUUCGGGAGAAGGGGUGCCUCGGUAGGGUGAAUAGCCCGAGGGGGCCGCAGUGAAAAGGCCCAAGCGACUGUUUAGCAAAAACACAGGUCUGUGCGAAGCCGCAAGGCGAAGUAUACGGGCUGACGCCUGCCCGGUGCUGGAAGGUUAAGGGGAGUGGUUAGGAGCAAUCCGAAGCUAUGAACCGAAGCCCCAGUAAACGGCGGCCGUAACUAUAACGGUCCUAAGGUAGCGAAAUUCCUUGUCAGGUAAAUUCUGACCCGCACGAAUGGCGUAACGACUUGGGCGCUGUCUCAACGAGAGAUCCGGUGAAAUUUUAAUACCUGUGAAGAUGCAGGUUACCCGCGACAAGACGGAAAGACCCCAUGGAGCUUUACUGCAGCUUGAUAUUGAAUUUGGGUACGAUCUGUACAGGAUAGGUGGGAGCCGUAGAAACAGGAGCGCAAGCUUCUGUGGAGGCGCCGUUGGGAUACCACCCUGAUCGUAUCUAGGUUCUAACCUGGUGCCCUUAACGGGUACGGGGACCGUGUCAGGCGGGCAGUUUGACUGGGGCGGUCGCCUCCUAAAGAGUAACGGAGGCGUUCAAAGGUUCCCUCAGAAUGGUUGGAAAUCAUUCGAAGAGUGCAAAGGCAUAAGGGAGCUUGACUGCGAGACCUACAAGUCGAGCAGGGACGAAAGUCGGACUUAGUGAUCCGGUGGUACCGCAUGGAAGGGCCAUCGCUCAACGGAUAAAAGCUACCCUGGGGAUAACAGGCUUAUCUCCCCCAAGAGUCCACAUCGACGGGGAGGUUUGGCACCUCGAUGUCGGCUCAUCGCAUCCUGGGGCUGAAGUAGGUCCCAAGGGUUGGGCUGUUCGCCCAUUAAAGCGGUACGCGAGCUGGGUUCAGAACGUCGUGAGACAGUUCGGUCCCUAUCUGUCGUGGGCGCAGGAAAUUUGAGAGGAGCUGUCCUUAGUACGAGAGGACCGGGAUGGACGUACCGCUGGUGCACCAGUUGUUUCGCCAGAAGCAUGGCUGGGUAGCUACGUACGGACGGGAUAAGCGCUGAAAGCAUCUAAGCGUGAAGCCCCCCUCAAGAUGAGAUUUCCCAAUUAGUAAGACCCCUUGAAGACGACGAGGUAGAUAGGUUGGAGGUGGAAGUGCAGCAAUGCAUGGAGCUGACCAAUACUAAUCGGUCGAGGGCUUAUCCAAU